GUUUUUGUAGUUGAAUCACAACAGUGGUUUUUCGGGCCACGGGUUUCGGUAAACUCAAGUCCGAACAGAAAUG
rnacentral:tRNA from 1 species